UGACACUACUAAACUGGACUGCUGG
rnacentral:piRNA from 1 species